rnacentral:rRNA from 1 species
UACGUAGGGGGCAAGCGUUGUCCGGAAUCAUUGGGCGUAAAGAGCGCGUAGGCGGUCCGGUAAGUCCGCUCUGAAAGCCCGGGGCUCAACCCCCGGGAGGCGGGCGGAUACUGUCGGGCUAGAGUCCGGAAGAGGCGAGUGGAAUUCCUGGUGUAGCGGUGAAAUGCGCAGAUAUCAGGAGGAACACCGAUGGCGAAGGCAGCUCGCUGGGACGGUACUGACGCUGAGGCGCGAAAGCGUGGGGAGCAAACAGG